rnacentral:rRNA from 1 species
GAUCUGGAAGCACCGUGAGGUGUGGAGGUGACCGGUACUAAUAGGCCGAGGGCUUGUCCUCAGUUGCUCGCGUCCACUGUGUUGGUUCUGAAACCACGAACAACCCCACGUCCACA